UUGUUCUAUUAUUGUUUAAAAGUGAAGGAACGUCUCCUGGUCCAACAUUCGACUCAACAACCCCACGACGACAAUGAGAACGACGAAGAAUGUUACAUUCUUUCUUGGAACUGAAUAAUGGUUCACUGGUGCUACAUGCUUUACUCCACAUUUCCAACUACAGAAAAGCUUAAAGUUAGAACGAAGAGGUUAAAGAGUCAAAAUAGCUUCUGCUCAUACUUCGCUUUGUGUUUUACGUUUGGUGUGAUUCACCUUAUCAUGGCAGAUUUACUCACAAGAAUUUCAGAUCAGCUAUCUCCGAGUCAGGUAGCACUGAUGAUCGACCAGAAAAGUCGUUCGGAAGUUGUUAUAAACAGGAGGAGCAAUGCCUUUAAGAAGGUCGUAGACGAGUUCCAUGAAAUGAAGAAGAAUUCCGAACGGGAUAAUGAGAGGGCAAAACAUCUUGAGCUUGACGUAACAAGAGUGUACGCUCAGUUAUCAAGAACGAGGGACUCUCUGACGAAAGAGCAGAGAAAAAAUGCAGAGUUGCUGGGAAAAAUGGAGAAAGGUCAUGUUAUUUGUGAGAAGUGUCUUGGGGAUGCAAAUGAAGAGGAUGAGAGAUAUUCGUCUGGAGAGGGCGGAGAAGCAAUGAGAGGAUUUAAGAAGGCUCAGAGACGGUUACCGCAGUCUGAUGUUUCAACUCAGAAGAAGGAGGCAAUAUCAUCCAUGAUGAACCAAGAUAAAAGUCAAACACAGCAAGGAACUGAGGGCAAAAGAACAGGUGGCGUCCCGCACGAAGAACAUGAACUUCUGAUUCGAGAAGCAGUGUUUUACAAAGAGCAGCUAACGCUUCUGGCCAAGGAGAAAUCGAUGAGUGUGGACACAAUUUUGGAGACAGCAGAGUAUAACCAAAUCAUCAAGAAUUUACAAAAAGACGUCCAGGAGAAAGUUGAUCAGAAUGAAGUACUUGUUGAGAGAAUAAAAGAGCUUUGCUCUCAGGACUCAGAGGAAGGAAGUCGAGUCACCGAGCUUCAGUUUCAGAAAGAUAAACUUCAGAAGAGGCUCAACCUUGGUCAAGUCAUGAUUGACACGCUGUCCAAACGCUGUGAGGAGCUGGAAGCCCAAGUCAAGUUGGCGCAGAAACCAAACUUCGAUACAACCGAUGGCUCUAAAGUCUCUGGUCUCAUGGAAGAUACAAAAAAACAAAAUGGCAGCAAAAGCCCCGUCAAGACUGAAGAUCAGAUUAGCAGCCAAUUUCUCUCCAAUGAGCGUAAGAAACACCGACAGCAAGUCCAGCGUCUGGAGGAGGAACUUCAACUCUACUCCAUUCAGAUGGAUCAAGUCAUGGUCGAGAACAAACAGCUGUUUAAGGAUCGCCAAGCAACGGAGAGGCAGAGAGAGAUUUUUGAGGAUCGCUACAACAAGCUUAUGGAGACCUUGCAGGCUGUUCAGCAACGGCAGCACCAGUGUUCUAACUGUCGCACCCUGGAACAGGAGCUAGCGAAGGUCAAAGUUGAGUUUGCUGACCUUAAAGAGGUCAAUGAACUUGUCUCUGCUCAGAUGAAGUUCUUCGAGGAAGAUCUGAGACAAGAACAGUUAGACAUGGAGAAUCUCAAGUUGAAGAACACUUUCCACAUUGAGCAGUGGAAGAGGAAUUGCCAGAAAAUGGGGCAACAGGUUGAUUUGUUGAUGGGAGACCUCCAGAGAGAGCGCGAGUUGAGACAGAGACUUCAACAACAGAUGAACCAAGCCAAGCCACGCCACCAGGUGCCUAUGGCUGCUAGCCUUGGCGCUGCUGGCACCCCACCGCCAAGAGCCUGUUCCGUUAGUGUACCAUGGUUCGGGUCACCCCAACAGCCUCUCCCGGCCUUUGUCGAAGUGGACUGCAUCGACGGAGACAAUGAAUCACCAUCGAAUGGUGCGACAUCGAAUGGUGCGGGUGCUUCAUCGUCCUCAAAGAGCUUAUCGCAAGACAAGGUACAAGAGUGCCCUCGAUGCAAACGUGAGUUUUCAGCGGACAAGACGAAGCAGUACCGAGACCAUGUAGGAAAAUGCUUUGACAGUUCCUGAAAGUGAAAGCUUUACCCAUCGGGAUCUGGAAGGGUUGUUGGUCUAAGGGAUUUCUGUUUCACGGAGGAAAUUGUUGGGUCUCUAGGAUAGGGAGGUAGUGAGGGAAAAGAUGGAGCGAAAGAAGAAAAAGAAAAUAACCCCCAGUUUAUAAUCCGGAGACGUUUUAAUAAUGUCAAAUAAAUUACUUGGUCAUUAAAUCUUUUAUUUAACCAGUCACUUAGACAUGUUACAUGUAUACCCAAAGAUUACAUUUACCUUGGUGUGCAUGUAUCGUAUAAUCACUAUACACAUAUGAUAUUGUCAAAUAGUAAAAUACUCACUAAGGGUUUUACUCAGGGUUUUGUUACUUGGGAUUACAAUGAGUACUUGAAAUCAGUCUACGGUAACCAGGAUUCCUGGAUAGAGAAAAGCAAUCAUGGUUCAAUAUCUGGAUAAUUUACAAAUUAAAUGUUGAAUAGGCAGCUAUGCCAUGUGAAAUAUUUGGGGCGAAUUUUCUUUUACCAAAAAGAAAAACUGAAGUUAGGGGGAAGUUACAGAAGCCAUUUAUUUAGCCCCAUUGUGUAGAAGGAGUAAGUGAAUGCGACACAUCAACAGCGGGAAUAAUUGUCCACAGAUAAAAUAUAAAGAUUUCAUGAUUGUUUUCGUUAGCUCAGGAUAUACCAACAGGAGGCUGAGCUAUAAGCUCAAACAAAUGAGGAAGCGCAAAGUACGAUGUACUGAAAGCGCACUAAGUGGAUAGCCGAGUACGGGACAUGGGUCUAUGCAACUGCCUUAUAACUACUGAAAGGGUUUAGAAGAUGUCAGGUCUGGAUUUUCACGAAGGCCAUGGAAGCCAUGGCCUUAAAGGCCAUGGCCUCCGUUGCUCUUGUCUUGGCCUUGGUGCCCCUUCAAAGUUUCCCAUAGACUUUAAGAUGGAAGUGCCCUUUUAAAAAAUAAAAAUAGCCUUGCCCCUCCAAGAUGAAAUUCCAGGCCUGAAGCGUUGUCCAGAAAGCAGGUAGAAGAUUUCGCUCUGGAAAUAAUGAGGAAGUGACGUUGUUGUAGAUGAUACUCUCUUUACCCAGAAAUGUUUGACUUUCGGGGAAUUACAUACAUGUAAGGGAGAUGAAAGUAACUGGUUUCAGUUUUGUACAAAGUUUGUAAAGGGGGGGGGGGGCAUUGUGUGGCGUGAUUUGCCGGAAUACCGACGGUGUUUUGUACAUGUAGUUGAAGUGUAAGGACCAAAUAAACGUUAGGUUCGGAUCUUGUAUAGAUGGACAAAUAUUUGGGUGGAAAUAAAUGAUGUGAGAAGCUAAUUAUGAUUGGUGUCUGCAUCAUUUUGCUAUGGCCCUUUUCUAAACCACAUCUUCGACUUUGGACUCAGCUUAUGAGGCUCCAUUCUCUCCCAUGAAGCCCUGAGCGAGUAUGUAUAUAUACGCACAAUUGUAAAAUCAAUCAGCGAGGCAAUGCUAGCCUUGAGCCGAAUCCAAGCCGAAGCUGUCGAAAAGGGCCUAUGAUUCUAUGGCUUGACAUUUGAGUUGAUUGGCAACUGAAAAUGAUCUUAGCUAGUCCAAUCAGAAGCCAGUAUCGAUGAUGAGGGUUUUGGCUAGUCCAAUCAGAUAACAGUAUUGAUGAUGAGGAUCGUGGCUAGUCCAAUCAGAAGACAGUAUUGAUGAUGAUGUUUGUGGCUAGUCUAAUCAGAUGUCGGUAUCGCUGAUGAGGUUUGUGGCUAGUCCAAUCAGAUGAAGGUAUUGAUGAUGAUGUGCAUGGCUAGUCCAAUGAGAUGAUAGUAUUAAUUGUAAGGUCAGUGGCUUGUCCAAUGAGAUGAUAGUAUUAAUUGUAAGGUUCAUGGCUAGUCCAAUCAGAUGACGGUUUUGAUGAUGAGGUUCAUGGCUAGUCCAAUCAGAUGACGGUGUUGAUGAUGAGGUUCAUGGCUAGUCCAAUCAGAUGACGGUGUUGAUGAUGAGGUUCACGGCUAGUCAAAUCAGAUCAGUAUUGAUGUUAGGUUCAUGGCUAGUCCAAUCAGAUGACGGUAUUGAUGAUGAUGUUCAUGGCUAGUCCAAUCAGAUUAUAGUAUUGAAGAAGUUUUUCUGUUUUGUCCAAUGGGGCCCAAUUUCAUGGCUCUGCUUACCGCCAAAUUCUGCGCUCACAAUCGUCUAUCUCCGCCUACUGUAAAACCCGUGUAAGCAAAGAGAUAUACCUAAGUAACAUUGAGUACGCACUGGAACUAGGAAAAGUUUCUUGCUACCCAGGAAUUAGGCUUGACGUAACCGUGCUUCCGUAAGCACAGAUUAUUUGCUUAUAAGCAUCGCCAAGAAAUUGGGCUUAGAUGACAUUGCAAUGUUGCAAAGAAAAAGGAAAAACCCCAAUUUGUUUUUGGUUUCAGUUUUUGAUGUUUUUAUUUUUUAUUAUUAUAGAUAGAUGAGAAAGUUGAUACUUUCCUGGUUAACUGUUUCAAGUAAUAGGGUAUUACCACCCGAAAAGGAAAUGUAGACCUAGGGUCUAAUUGAAAGUUGUUUAUCGAGGAAGUACAUGUACAUGUACAAAUGUACAUCCAUUAGAUGUAAACUUGCAUAAGGUUAUAAGGAAUAAGGGUAUAAGGGUAAAAACCAAACAUUAAUAUACAUGUACAUUCAUUACAUAGAGUAGUUACAGUUCAGUAGUUAGUAGUACCAUGUAUAGAUUGGUAAUUAUAAUGUGUUAAUCUCAGUUAAUGACUGAUUUCUUCAAAGAUUGAAUUGGUGCACAUCCACAAUCAUGGUUACAACUUUUGUUUAUACAAAGACACCACAUGAACAACCCAUAUCUAUUGAACAACUCUUUGGAGGUCUUGUAUUUGACAAGACUUUUUAAACAUCGACGCAGAGAGUGUUAAUUGAAACGACAUUGAGAUUUAAACUAAAUGCAUCAUUGGUUUUCAAACAGUUGUAGACCCAUGAGUGUGGUGUGCGUAUUAUUGUGUAAUAUAGUUGCAUUAUCUGUAGUUCAUAGUUGCAUUUCUGUUAGUAGUUGCAUUUAUGUAGUUGUAUUUCUGUAUUGUAGUUGCAUGCAGUUUUUAGUGGCAUGUACGUAUAAUUAGUAGUUGCAUGAACAUUGUACAUUAUACAUAAUAGUAGAUAUAAUGUGUCAAUCUCAGUAAUAGACUGAUUUCUUCGAAGGUGUGGUAUGUCCAUAGACCUAUCUCUAUGGUUAUGUUGUUGUUCUUUGGUUUGCAGUAACUGUUAAAACACCAUGUGUGUAUCUACUUGCCAUGGUAGCGUUUGUUCUUACAUGAAUUCUGUCUUUCUUUAUUCUACUAUCGCGGUAGAUUGUUUGGGUGGUCGGGUAUUCAUCCAGGAGACUUCUCAGUUCUGAGAAGAAAUGUCCUGCUUUUUAACUAUUACCUGGGAGAAUGGUAUAGAAAAUAGGCUGGGGGUACUUUAGCUUACUACAGCGGAGUCAGUUCCUAAAGUUGUCUCAACGUUUCGAUUAGCUUGCUCUAGUCAUCGUCAGUCACAUGGUGUUACCGCAAACCAAACAUAAUGUACCUCACCGUGCAAUACCUCAAAUCCUAUUAUAUUUUGUUGUGGUUGCUUUUUUUGUUGUUAGUUGGCUAGUUACAAUGUUCUCAGUAUACUUUUCCUAGAACAGUUCAGUGUUUUUAAAUAUGAUCUUUGAUUCAUUUCUUUUUGCCUUGGAAUAUCUUCUGGUUUGGUCUACAUUGUAAAUACUUUUAGACUUUUUCAGAGCAAAAACUUUUUCAGUCAAGUUUUUCAAAAUCAUUUGAAAUUAUUACUCAGGCAGUUUCACUUGUGGUUAUAUUAUUUUAAAUUUUAAUAAAUAUUUCGUAGUUCAAGGGAAGGUACACGUUUGGUAAUUACUCAAACAAAUA